CUACUGGCAUUGGAGGGCCUUUUGGAAGCUUAACUUGAGUGUUGGAGCCUUGUGGAGCUGAUUAUUGCGACUUCUUGUGACUAUUUGGAGCUUAGUACUAGAGCCAUCUACAGGAGAGGCU